rnacentral:misc_RNA from 1 species
GAUGAAGAACGCAGCGAAAUGCGAUAAGUAAUGUGAAUUGCAGAAUUCAGUGAAUCAUCGAAUCUUUGAACGCACCUUGCACCCUUUGGCAUUCCGAAGGGUAUGCUCGUUUGAGUGUCAUUGUACUCUCACUCUCCCGAUGCUUUUGGAUCGGGAGUGGUGGACUUGGGUGUUGCUGCUUUGCUGUGGCUCACCUCAAAUGGAGUAGUGCAACUCUUGGUUGGACAUAGUACGGCGUGAUAAGUGUCUUCGCCGGCGCCUCAUUAUAGAGGGUGGCCGAUCGGGAGCUCUGUGCUUCAAACCGUCUUCGGACAACAUCUGACAACUUGACCUCAAAUCGAGUAGGACUACCCGCUGAACUUAAGCAUAUCAAUAAGCGGAGGA